UCGGGAAUUUUGCUCAAUGGGCGCAAGCCUGAAGCAGCAACGCCGCGUGAGGGAUGAAGGCCUUCGGGUUGUAAACCUCUUUUCUCAGGGACGAUGAUGACGGUACCAGAGGAAUAAGCACCGGCUAACUCCGUGCCAGCAGCCGCGGUAAUACGGAGGGUGCGAGCGUUAUCCGGAUUUACUGGGUUUAAAGGGUGCGUAGGUGGGCUUAUAAGUCAGUGGUGAAAUCUCCGAGCUUAACUUGGAAACUGCCGUUGAUACUAUAGGUCUUGAAUUAUCUGGAGGUAAGCGGAAUAUGUCAUGUAGCGGUGAAAUGCUUAGAUAUGACAUAGAACACCAAUUGCGAAGGCAGCUUACUACAUAUAAAUUGACGCUGAGGCACGAAAGCGUGGGGAUCAAACA
rnacentral:rRNA from 1 species